rnacentral:tRNA from 1 species
UUGGAUUUAAACCCCAAAUAUAAAGGUUAAACUUUUUUUAGAA